rnacentral:rRNA from 1 species
AGCGAACGCUGGCGGCAGGCCUAACACAUGCAAGUCGAGCGAAGCCUUCGGGCUUAGCGGCGGACGGGUGAGUAACGCGUGGGAACAUGCCCUUUGGUACGGAAUAGCCCCGGGAAACUGGGAGUAAUACCGGAUGUGGUCGAGAGACGAAAGAUUUAUCGCCAAAGGAUCGGCCCGCGUUGGAUUAGGUAGUUGGUGGGGUAAUGGCCUACCAAGCCGACGAUCCAUAGCUGGUUUGAGAGGAUGAUCAGCCACACUGGGACUGAGACACGGCCGAGACUCCUACGGGAGGCAGCAGUGGGGAAUCUUAGACAAUGGGGGAAACCCUGAUCUAGCCAUGCCGCGUGAUCGAUGAAGGCCUUAGGGUUGUAAAGAUCUUUCAGUGGGGAAGAUAAUGACUGUACCCACAGAAGAAGCCCCGGCUAACUCCGUGCCAGCAGCCGCCGUAAAAC